UACGGAGGGUGCGAGCGUUGUCCGGAAUCAUUGGGCGUAAAGGGCGCGUAGGUGGCCCGGUCAGUCAGUGGUGAAAGCGCGGGGCUCAACUCCGCGUCGGCCAUUGAUACUGCUGGGCUGGAGCACUGUAGAGGCAGGUGGAAUUCCUGGUGUAGCGGUGAAAUGCGCAGAUAUCAGGAGGACCACCAAUGGCGAAGGCAGCUCGCUGGGACGUGACUGACGCUGAGACGCGAAAGCGUGGGGAGCAAACAGG
rnacentral:rRNA from 1 species